AUACACAAUAUUGUCUUUAAAGUUAUAAUAAAAAUGAAAUAAAAUAAAUGCUGAAUCCAAAAGGUGUUGACCGCUGAGAAAUGUCUAGUGUGCAUGCCUUGUAACGAAAAUGCAAACUUGUGUCGGUGUCAACCUUUAUUGUUAUAACGAUUUUCACUUCCGUCAAAAUUGUUUGACAAACAUAUCGUCUACACAGCUGAAUCUUCCAAUUACGCAAAAAACGAACCUGGAGGCUGACAACAAUCGCCUGCUUGAGAGUCCAAUAUAAGUAAAGUCCACCAAAAGUAUACAAAGACGUAAUUUUUGCAUUUGCUUUUAAGUCAGCGUACCUUCAAAAGUGCCACCGUAGAUCGACUCACCACCGGUACCGUUUCCAGCCGAAAAAUCUCCAGCUUGUAUCAUAAAAUCCUUGACAACACGGUGGAAUAUUACAUUUUUAUAAUGCAACGGCUUGCCUGUAACUAAACCGAUACCUUUCUCGCCAGUACAAAGUGCUCGAAAAUUUUCCACUGUUUUCGGUGCAACAUCUUUAAAUAAUUCAAAAACUAUGCGACCAACAUUUAAGCCACCAAUCGAAAUAUCGAAAAAACAACGCGGUCUAGUUGCAGCAUUUGCUGCGGCGGACGUUGACGCCAAUCCCUCGGCCACAGUCAUAUUCUGCACUUUUUCACUUCUUGAAUAUACUUCUGCUACAAUUUCACAAAAAAAAAGCGGUUUAAUCUACACAUUGGUAAAACGUUGGCAGAUUCUGAGAAAAUUUUCUUUUGCAAAUGUUAUGACAUUUGUGGAACGUGAAUUUAACUGAAGGGUUGCCAGGUUAAAAUUGGACACUUAAUAACUUUAUUCAAUAUAAUAUUAUCUAUUAUAUUGAUGAUAGAUGUAAAUGUACAUUAAUAUAUUCGUAUAAAAUACAUAUAAACUAUACCGUCUUUUCCAAAAUAGUUUUUAAACAGUUUUAAUUAAUUUAUAUUAUAUUUAUAUUUCCUUACAACGCCUUGGAUAUCAUUUUGCAUUUAACACUUACCACAACAGUUCCUAAAUCGGUUUGGUCCAGCGCUAUUCUAUAAGCCUACAUUCCACAAUACAAUUUCAAAACCCUAUAUAAAAUCACUUACCACGACAAAUAAUAUACCAUACAUAAAGCAAUUCCCGC